GAACGCUGGCGGCGUAGCUUAACACAUGCAAGUCGAACGAGGUGAUUGAAAGCUUGCUUUGAGAACCGAGUGGCAAACGGGUGAGUAACGCGUAGACAACCUGCCGCAAAGAUGGGGACAACAGGUCCGAAAGGACUGCUAAUACCGAAUGUUGUCAGAUUCCCGCAUGGGAGACUGAUUAAAGAUGGCCUCUACUUGUAAGCUAUCGCUUUGCGAUGGGUCUGCGUCUGAUUAGCUAGUUGGUGGGGUAACGGCCUACCAAGGCGACGAUCAGUAGCCGGUCUGAGAGGAUGAACGGCCACAUUGGAACUGAGACACGGUCCAGACUCCUACGGGAGGCAGCAGUGGGAAUCUUCCGCAAUGGGCGAAAGCCUGACGGAGCAACGCCGCGUGAGUGAAGGUAAAGGGUUUCGGCUCGUAAAGCUCUGUUGACGGGGACGAAUGUGCGAGAUGCGAAUAGUUUCUUGCAAUGACGGUACCCGUCGAGGAAGCCACGGCUAACUACGUGCCAGCAGCGGC
rnacentral:rRNA from 1 species